rnacentral:rRNA from 1 species
UACAGACGGUCCAAACGUUAUUCGGAAUCACUGGGCGUAAAGGGCUCGUAGGCGGCCAACUAAGUCAUACGUGAAAUCCCUCAGCUUAACUGGGGAACUGCGUGUGAUACUGGAUGGCUUGAGGUUGGGAGAGGGAUGCGGAAUUCCAGGUGUAGCGGUGAAAUGCGUAGAUAUCUGGAGGAACACCGGUGGCGAAGGCGGCAUCCUGGACCAAUUCUGACGCUGAGGAGCGAAAGCCAGGGGAGCAAACGGG